rnacentral:rRNA from 1 species
GACAGAGGGUGCAAACGUUGCUCGGAAUUACUGGGCGUAAAGCGCGUGUAGGCGGACCUGCAAGUCGGGUGUGAAAUCCCUCAGCUCAACUGAGGAAGUGCGCCCGAAACUGCAGAGCUUGAGUACCGGAGAGGAUGGCGGAAUUCCCGAAGUAGAGGUGAAAUUCGUAGAUAUCGGGAGGAACACCAGUGGCGAAGGCGGCCAUCUGGACGGAUACUGACGCUGAGACGCGAAAGCGUGGGGAGCAAACAGG